GGGGAGGUCGCAUAGCCUGGUUUAGUGCGCCCGCCUGCUAAGCGGGUUCCGGGGAAUACUCGGACGAGGGUUCAAAUCCCUCCCUCCCCGCCU
rnacentral:tRNA from 1 species